rnacentral:guide_RNA from 1 species
ACAACAUAUCAAGUGGUAAAGUGAGAGAAGAAAGUAAAUGUAAUUAUAAU